rnacentral:lncRNA from 1 species
CCCACCUCGGCCAACCAAAUUGCUGGGAUGGCAGGCAUGAGCCACCGUGCCUGGCCACACUUUAUAGGGUUUUAACAAAAAUUAAAUAAAUUGAUAAAUGUAAAAUACCUAGCCCCAGUGCUUGGCGGACCAUGAAUAUUGGUUCCCUUUCAUUCUUCCUUCUACAAAUUUAAUCCCUCCAUUUCCUUUGUUUAUUUGUUCUUAUUUUUUGCUAGAUUCUGUUACCUUCUGAGUUCUCAAGUUUCUCUUAGCUGUCUCUUCUUUCUAUAUUUGCAACCUCUCCCUAUCUAGAUAUUUCUUAUGUAUUGAUAAACAUAUUCAAGCGAUUUCCUUUUUUUCUUUUUAGAGAUGGGAUCUUGCUCUGUCACCUAGG